UUUUUAAACAAUGUGUCAGAAGGAAGGAUAAUAUUAGAGGCAUUGUCGUGUUUACUUCAGUUUCUUUCACUAAUGCCUAUCAUCAGCCACAGGAGCGCUUCCCUAGCUUCCUCAUUAAUCACCACCCUCUGGUAUCACAUCAUUAAAGCACUUCCACUCACUCUUGGCUUGUGGUUUGCUUUACAGAAUUGGAGGCAGGAGGGUGAAGAAGUUCUGCCUGCAAAUCUACAAACCCAC
rnacentral:lncRNA from 1 species